CGUGUAGGCGGUUGGUCAAGUCCGGUGUGAAAGCCCGGGGCUCAGCUCCGGAAGUGCAUCGGAAACUAGCCAGCUUGAGCGCGAUAGAGGAGGGUGGAAUUCCUGGUGUAGCGGUGAAAUGCGUAGAUAUCAGGAGGAACACCGGCGGCGAAGGCGGCCCUCUGGAUCGUUGCUGACGCUGAGACGCGAAAGCGUGGGGAGCAAACAGGAUUAGAUACCCUGGUAGUCCACGCUGUAAACGAUGGGUACUAGGUGUUCGGGGUGUUGACCCCCUGAGUGCCGCAGCUAACGCAUUAAGUACCCCGCCUGGGGACUACGGCCGCAAGGUUAAA
rnacentral:rRNA from 1 species